rnacentral:rRNA from 1 species
UACGUAGGGUGCAAGCGUUGUCCGGAAUUAUUGGGCGUAAAGAGCGUGUAGGCGGCCUGAAAGGUCAGCUGUGAAAACUCGAGGCUCAACCUCGAGACGUCGGUUGAAACCAUCUGGCUAGAGUCCGGAAGAGGAGUGUGGAAUUCCCGGUGUAGCGGUGAAAUGCGCAGAUAUCGGGAGGAACACCGAUGGCGAAGGCAGAUCUCUGGGCCGUAACUGACGCUGAGGAGCGAAAGCAUGGGGAGCGAACAGG